AUUGAACGCUGGCGGCAUGCCUUACACAUGCAAGUCGAACGGUAACGCGGGGCAACCUGGCGACGAGUGGCGAACGGGAGAGUAAUGUAUCGGAACGUGCCCAGUUGUGGGGGAUAACUGCUCGAAAGAGCAGCUAAUACCGCAUACGACCUGAGGGUGAAAGCGGGGGAUCGCAAGACCUCGCGCAAUUGGAGCGGCCGAUAUCAGAUUAGGUAGUUGGUGGGGUAAAGGCCCACCAAGCCAACGAUCUGUAGCUGGUCCGAGAGGACGACCAGCCACGCUGGGACUGAGACACGGCCCAGACUCCUACGGGAGGCAGCAGUGGGGAAUUUUGGACAAUGGACGCAAGUCUGAUCCAGCCAUGCCGCGUGCGGGAAGAAGGCCUUCGGGUUGUAAACCGCUUUUGUCAGGGAAGAAAAGGGCGACUCUAAUACAGUUGCCUCAUGACGGUACCUGAAGAAUAAGCACCGGCUAACUACGUGCCAGCCGCCGCCGUAAGAC
rnacentral:rRNA from 1 species